GACGACGAGUUCCCUCUCACGCUGGAUGAGAUCAUCGCUAUGGGCUACCGGCCGGUUGGUCCCAUGCGUGAUGAGCGCCGGCUCCUGACUAGUCCCAGCUAUGGCAACCCUGUGCCGGGCAUUAGCAUCUACCCACCGAACGACUUCGCAGGCAAUCCGGUGUGGCGUGAGUCUGUCAAUCCGCUGGUGCUGC
rnacentral:misc_RNA from 1 species